rnacentral:rRNA from 1 species
GACGAACGCUGGCGGCGUGCCUAAUACAUGCAAGUCGAGCGAGACUCUUCGGAGUCUAGCGGCGGACGGGUGAGUAACACGUGGGCAACCUGCCUGUAAGACUGGGAUAACACCGGGAAACCGGUGCUAAUACCGGAUAAUCCUUUUCCUCUCAUGAGGAAAAGCUGAAAGUCGGUUUCGGCUGACACUUACAAAUGGGCCAGCGGCGCAUUAGCUAGUUGGUGAGGUAACGGCUCACCAAGGCGACGAUGCGUAGCCGACCUGAGAGGGUGAUCGGCCACACUGGGACUGAGACACGGCCCAGACUCCUACGGGAGGCAGCAGUAGGGAAUCUUCCACAAUGGACGAAAGUCUGACGGAGCAACGCCGCGCGAGCGAUGAAGGCCUUCGGGUCGUAAAGCUCUGUUGUUAGGGAAGAACAAGUACCGGAGUAACUGCCGGUACCUUGACGGUACCUAACCAGAAAGCCCCGGCUAACUUCGUGCCAGCAGCCGCCGUAA